AGAGUUUGAUCCUGGCUCAGGAUGAACGCUGGCGGCAUGCCUAAUACAUGCAAGUCGAACGAGAGGAAGGAAAGCUUGCUUUUCUGAAUCUAGUGGCGAACGGGUGAGUAACACGUAGGUAACCUGCCCAUGUGCCCGGGAUAACUUCUGGAAACGGAUGCUAAAACCGGAUAGGUAGCAGACAAGCAUUUGACUGCUAUUAAAGUGGCUAAGGCCAUGAACAUGGAUGGACCUGCGGUGCAUUAGCUGGUUGGUGAGGUAACGGCCCACCAAGGCGACGAUGCAUAGCCGGCCUGAGAGGGCGGACGGCCACAUUGGGACUGAGACACGGCCCAAACUCCUACGGGAGGCAGCAGUAGGGAAUUUUCGUCAAUGGGGGGGACCCUGAACGAGCAAUGCCGCGUGAGUGAGGAAGGUCUUCGGAUCGUAAAGCUCUGUUGUAAGAGAAAAACGACAUUCAUAGGGAAUGAUGAGUGAGUGAUGGUAUCUUACCAGAAAGUCACGGCUAACUACGUGCCAGCAGCCGCGGUAAUACGUAGGUGGCGAGCGUUAUCCGGAAUGAUUGGGCGUAAAGGGUGCGUAGGUGGCAGAACAAGUCUGGAGUAAAAGGUAUGGGCUCAACCCGUACUGGCUCUGGAAACUGUUCAGCUAGAGAACAGAAGAGGACGGCGGAACUCCAUGUGUAGCGGUAAAAUGCGUAGAUAUAUGGAAGAACACCGGUGGCGAAGGCGGCCGUCUGGUCUGUUGCUGACACUGAAGCACGAAAGCGUGGGGAGCAAAUAGGAUUAGAUACCCUAGUAGUCCACGCCGUAAACGAUGAGAACUAGGUGUUGGGGGAAUAACUCAGUGCCGCAGUUAACGCAAUAAGUUCUCCGCCUGGGGAGUAUGCACGCAAGUGUGAAACUCAAAGGAAUUGACGGGGGCCCGCACAAGCGGUGGAGUAUGUGGUUUAAUUCGAAGCAACGCGAAGAACCUUACCAGGCCUUGACAUCCCUUGCAGAGGUAUAGAGAUAUAUCCGAGGUUAUCAAGGAGACAGGACCUGUCUCCUUGAUAACCUCGGAUAUAUCUCUAUACCUCUGCAAGGGAUGUCAAGGCCUGGUAAGGUUCUUCGCGUUGCUUCGAAUUAAACCACAUACUCCACCGCUU
rnacentral:rRNA from 1 species